AUGGGGAAAAAAUCCCCUAAAAUUGGGGAAAAAAACCCUAAAAUUGGGAAAACCCCCCCAAAAUUGGGAAAAAAUCCCCUAAAAUUGGGGAAAAAAACCCCAAAAUUGGGGAAAAAACCCCUAAAUUGGGAAAACCCCCCCAAAAUUGGGGAAAAAAACCCCCAAAAUUGGGGAAAAAAACUCCAAAAUUGAGGAAAAAAACCCCAAAAUUGAGGAAAAAAAACCCCAAAAUUGGGGAAAAGACCCCCAAAAUUGGGGAAAAAACCCAAAAUUGGGGUAAAAAACGCCCAAAAUUGGGGAAAACCCCCCGAAAAGUGGGGAAAAAAUCCCCUAAAAUUGGGGAAAAAACCCCAAAAUUGGGGAAAACCCCCCCAAAAUUGGGGAAAAAACCCUAAAAUUGGGGAACCCCCCAAAAUUGGGUAAAACAACCCCAAAAUUGGGGAAAAAAUCCCCUUAAAUUGGGGAAAAAAACCCCAAAAUUGGGGAAAAAAAUCCCAAAAUUGGGGAAAAACCCCCUAAAAUUCCCAUUUUUUUAAAAUUUGGGCAUUCUGGCUGCCCCCCCCCCAAAUUUUUUGAGUGGGGGGGGUCCUCCCAGUCCCUUCCCAGUACCAAACUGGGGGGGAGGAGCCCCAAAUUGGGGAGGGGGGAGGGGAUUUUUGGG
rnacentral:lncRNA from 1 species